rnacentral:rRNA from 1 species
AGAUAAUAGAUACCCCGGUAGUCCACGCCCUAAACGAUGUCUACUAGUUGUUGGUGGAGUAAAAUCCAUGAGUAAACGCAGCUAAACGCGUGAAGUAGACCGCCUGGGGAGUACGGUCGCAAGAUUAAAACUCAAAGGAAUUGACGGGGGCCCGCACAAGCGGUGGAUUAUGUGGAUUAAAUUCGAUGCAACGCGAAAAACCUUACCUGGCCUUGACAUGCCACUAACGAAGCAGAGAUGCAUUAGGUGCCCGUAAGGGAAAGUGGACACAGGUGCUGCACGGCUGUCGUCAGCUCGUGUCGUGAGAUGUUGGGUUAAGUCCCGCAACGAGCGCAACCCUUGCCAUUAAUUGCCAUCAUUUAGUUGGGCACUUUAAUGGGACUGCCGGUGACAAACCGGAGGAAGGUGGGGAUGACGUCAAGUCCUCAUGGCCCUUAUGGCCAGGGCUUCACACGUAAUACAAUGGUCGGUACAGAGAGUUGCCAACCCGCGAGGGGAGCUAAUCUCAGAAAGCCGAUCGUAGUCCGGAUUGUUCUCUGC